CCUACGGGUGGCAGCAGUGGGGGAUAUUGCACAAUGGGGGAAACCCUGAUGCAGCGACGCCGCGUGGACGAAGAAGUAUUUCGGUAUGUAAAGCCCUAUCAGCAGGGAAGAAGGAAUGACGGUACCUGAGUAAGAAGCACCGGCUAAAUACGUGCCAGCAGCCGCGGUAAUACGGAUGGUGCAAGCGUUAUCCGGAUUUACUGGGUGUAAAGGGAGCGCAGGCGGCACGGCAAGCCUGAUGUGAAAGCCCGGGGCGCAACCGCGGGACUGCAUUGGGAACUACCGGGCUGGAGUGCCGGAGAGGGAGGUGGAAUUCCAGGUGUAGCGGUGAAAUGCGUAGAGAUUAGGAGGAAUACCAGUGGCGAAGGCGGCCUACUGGACGGUGACUAACGCUGAGGUGCGAAAGCGUGGGGAGCAAACAGGAUUAGAUACCCCUGUAGUC
rnacentral:rRNA from 1 species